CCUACGGGUGGCAGCAGUGAGGAAUAUUGGUCAAUGGACGAGAGUCUGAACCAGCCAAGUAGCGUGAAGGAUGACUGCCCUAUGGGUUGUAAACUUCUUUUAUAUGGGAAUAAAAUGUUCCACGUGUGGGAUUUUGUAUGUACCAUAUGAAUAAGGAUCGGCUAACUCCGUGCCAGCAGCCGCGGUAAUACGGAGGAUCCGAGCGUUAUCCGGAUUUAUUGGGUUUAAAGGGAGCGUAGGUGGAUUGUUAAGUCAGUUGUGAAAGUUUGCGGCGCAACCGUAAAAUUGCAGUUGAAACUGGCAGUCUUGAGUACAGUAGAGGUGGGCGGAAUUCGUGGUGUAGCGGUGAAAUGCGUAGAUAUCACGAAGAACUCCGAUGGCGAAGGCAGUUCACUGGACUGCAACUGACACUGAGGCUCGAAAGUGUGGGUAUCAAACAGGAUUAGAUACCCGAGUAGUC
rnacentral:rRNA from 1 species